rnacentral:piRNA from 1 species
CGCUGGCUCAGGAGUGAAGCUGCAGAC